rnacentral:snoRNA from 1 species
CCUUCGCUGAUGUGUAACCAUUUACUUUCGUUCUUCUGAGCCUGCUGAAGCAACGCUUAUUGAUCUGAGGAGG